UUUCAACACCUCCGUGCCGCCGCUAACGCAUUAAGUAUUCCGCCUGGGGAGUACGGUCGCAAGAUUAAAACUCAAAGGAAUUGACGGGGACCCGCACAAGUAGCGGAGCAUGUGGUUUAAUUCGAAGCAACGCGAAGAACCUUACCUACACUUGACAUCCCUUGCAUUACUCUUAAUCGAGGAAAUCCCUUCGGGGACAAGGUGACAGGUGGUGCAUGGUUGUCGUCAGCUCGUGUCGUGAGAUGUUGGGUUAAGUCCCGCAACGAGCGCAACCCUUGUCGUUAGUUACUACCAUUAAGUUGAGGACUCUAGCGAGACUGCCUGGGUUAACCAGGAGGAAGGUGGGGAUGACGUCAAAUCAUCAUGCCCCUUAUGUGUAGGGCUACACACGUGCUACAAUGGCUGGUACAGAGAGAUGCAAUACCGCGAGGUGGAGCCAAACUUAAAAACCAGUCUCAGUUCGGAUUGUAGGCUGAAACUCGCCUACAUGAAGCUGGAGUUACUAGUAAUCGCGAAUCAGAAUGUCGCGGUGAAUACGUUCCCGGGUCUUGUACACACCGCCCGUCACACCAUGAGAGUUGGCAAUACCCGAAGUCCGUGAGCUAACCG
rnacentral:rRNA from 1 species